rnacentral:rRNA from 1 species
ACACGACUACAUUAGAUACCCCGGUAGUCCUAGCCGUAAACGAUACUCGCUAGGUGUCGGCCACGGUGCGACCGUUGUCGGUGCCGUAGGGAAGCCGUGAAGCGAGCCACCUGGGAAGUACGGCCGCAAGGCUGAAACUUAAAGGAAUUGGCGGGGAGCACCACAACGGGUGGAGCUUGCGGUUUAAUUGGAUUCAACGCCGGAAAUCUUACCGGGACCGACAGCAACAUGAAGGCCAGGCUGAAGACUUUGCCGGAUUAGCUG